AUGGGCCAACAACAGAGCAUCACCUACGUCAUGCUCACUUCGGAGCGCCGGUUGCAACUCCUAGAGGAGAUUCAGACCCGACACGCCGCUUGGAUUGCAGUUAACCUGCCUCCGGACUCUCUGGAGCAUGAGGAGGAGGAGCAGCAGGCAUCGGAAGCGCACAUGGAGGGGGAGGAGGAAGUUGGGGCGGAUCCAACGCCUCCGGCUACCAGAUUCGGCAUUGGUGACGCGCAAGCAGAGUACGGGGUCACCCAAGCAGAUAGGAGACGGCGAAGCAGCAAGCCAUCUUCAACUCCAUCCAGUCGGAGUCGAAGAUGA
rnacentral:rRNA from 1 species